GAUGAACGCUGGCGGCGUGCUUAACACAUGCAAGUCGAACGGACUCAUAUUGAAACCUAGUGAUUUAUGAGUUAGUGGCGGACGGGUGAGUAACGCGUGGAUAACCUGCCGUAUACCGGGGGAUAACACUUAGAAAUAGGUGCUAAUACCGCAUGAGCGCACAGCUCCGCAUGGGGCGGUGUGAAAAACUCCGGUGGUAUACGAUGGAUCCGCGUCUGAUUAGCCAGUUGGCGGGGUAACGGCCCACCAAAGCGACGAUCAGUAGCCGGCCUGAGAGGGUGAACGGCCACAUUGGGACUGAGACACGGCCCAG
rnacentral:rRNA from 1 species